rnacentral:lncRNA from 1 species
GAGCUCUCCUGUCCUACUGGGUCCUCAGAGCCCCUUCAAGCUGGUUCUGGGUAUCGCACUGACCUGUGACAGAGCUCCCUUCUUCCUCCCCAGUACCCUCUGCUGGCACCGAUCUGGUCAUUGUUCUGGCCAUGGAUGGGAUGAUGUCCUUCCAAACAUCCAGUUGGACUUUAGGCUCAAAGGUAACAGGUGAUUGCCACUGAAGGUGCAGAAAGCUUGAAGGCCCUUCCUUUGGACGUCUUUAAUCUUGAAGGAGAGAAUGUAGAAUCCUAGUGGCACAGGAUGAGCCUGUUUAGAAGGAGACUUCCUAUUCACCUCUUCCUUUACUAAGAAAAUGUGGGCAAGAAGGUAUGAUGGGG